AUUGAACGCUGGCGGCAGGCCUAACACAUGCAAGUCGAGCGGAGCGGCGGACGGGUGAGUAAUGCCUAGGAAUCUGCCUGGUAGUGGGGGAUAACGUCCUGAAACGGGCGCUCAUCCCGUAUACUAUCAGCUUAGCCUAGGUGGGAUUAUCUAGUUGGUGGGGUAAAGGCCUACCAAGGCGACGAUCCGUAACUGGUCUGAGAGGAUGAUCAGUCACACUGGAACUUAGACACGGUCCAGACUCCUACGGGAGGCAGCAGUGGGGAAUAUUGGACAAUGGGGGAAAGCCUGAUGCAGCCAUGCCGCGUGUGUGAAGAAGGUCUGCGGAUUGUAAAGCACUUUAAGUUAGGAGGCGUUACCAACAGAAUAAGCACCGGCUAACUUCGUGCCAGCAGCCGCGGUAAUUC
rnacentral:rRNA from 1 species